rnacentral:tRNA from 1 species
GAAAACUUAGUUAAUCAAUAUAACAUUAGUUUGUCAAGCUGAAGUAAACCCGCGUUAGUUUUCU